CUUCUUCAGAACAACAUCUCGAACAAAAUGACAAUCAACUUUAAUGUGCUUGGUCCUUUCAUGAAAUACUGGAUUGCUAGCAAUGUAAAUAGUAACUUGAUUUUCACACAUC